UGAGUAAUUAAAAGACAGAAG
ensembl:piRNA 21ur-114 ncRNA